rnacentral:rRNA from 1 species
GCAUCAUUCAAAUAUCUGCCCUAUCAACUUUAGAUGGUAGGAUAGUGGCUACCAUGGUUUCAACGGGUAACGGGGAAUAAGGGUUCGAUUCCGGAGAGGGAGCCUGAGAAACGGCUACACAUCCAAGGAAGGCAGCAGGCGCGCAAAUUACCCAAUCCCGACCGGGGAGGUAGUGACAAUAAAUAACAAUAUAGGGCUCUUUCGGGUCUUAUAAUUGGAAUGAGGACAAUUUAAAUCUCUUAUCGAGGAACAAUUGGAGGGCAAGUCUGGUGCCAGCAGCCGCGGUAAUUCCAGCUCCAAUAGCGUAUAUUAAAGUUGUUGCAGUUAAAAAGCUCGUAGUUG